CCUCAUCACAGUCACUAGCUUACUGCCAGUCUCUUCCCUAAGAAUUGUGAGCUGGACCUGCUGUGAUGAACCUUCUCCUUCCUGGUCACAAGCUAUGCAGCUAAGCCCCUUCUAUUUGCCAGAGACAAGCUGGAGAAAGUCGGUCGACUUCAUAGAGAACGUCAUCCUGCAGCAGGCAGAAGAGAACUGAGAAGCAGUGAGAGGAGAAAAGCUAAGGUCGAGUGUUCGGCACUUGCAAACAAGAGUCCUGGCAUCCACCAGGCCAUUCCCUGAGACCUGCUAAUUUUCUAUAUGGCGUGGACCACCAGUUACCUCUGGUAUAUGUGCGAUCGCCCUGCAGGACAUCCUUUCUUGGAACAGAGCCAUCAUACUAAGAGAAAGCCAAGCAGCCACGUGAAGGGAUCACCUACAGGUGCCCCAGCCAAAAGCCCCAGCUGCUGUCAUGAUAGACAGCCAACUUCAGCCGUCAGCUAUGUGGGUGAGUGAGCCUGCAGAUGAUUCCAGCCCCAGGCUUUUUCAACUGAGACCAUGCAGAAUACAAACAUGCAGUCCAUGCCCCAUCCUUCCCAAAUUAUAGGUUUAAGAGCAAAAUAAAUGAUCAUUGAUGUUUUAAA